CCAAAAUUUGGUUUUAAGAAGAUUGUCAGUUUGCACAUUUGCUUAUUUAUUUCAGUUCUCCUAAUUUGAGAUGUGUAAAGUAAUAUUAAUACAACCUGGUGCAGUUAUGUUUAUACUUAAUAUUCUAGAUGUGAUUCUUACAAAUUUCAGGACAAUUUAAACCUUUUUAUUAAGUCACAUUCCAGACCAGGAGAAAGGAGGCAAUAAUCUGUUAGACUCCCAUUCUGCUGUCCACCCCUGCCCACCUCACCCCCAAAUGCUUUCCAGCAGUGUCUGCCCCAGACGCCUUAAGAAACUCCAGUUUCUUAUUUUUCUUCUCUGGCUCAUUUGUUGUGGCUCAAGGCAAAUACAAGAUUGAUUACUGUUCCAGUUUCAGCCAAGACAAUAUGAUGUCCCUCAAUCCUCCCUUUUUCUUCCACCGCGUACAUACCUGAGAGGUUUAAAAGGCUUCAAGCAUCCAGGGAUAAAAUAAGUUCUCCAGUGAAGGGCCAGUAGGAAACAGAAACUGGGGUUGCCCUGCUCCCAAACUUGAAUGCCCUGGGUAAUUCCAGUGGGGUUUUAAAAACCUGUUGUUGCCAGGUGUGGUGGCACACGCCUGUAAUCCCAGCACUCAGGAGGCUGAGGCAGGAGGAUUGCUGUGAGUUUGAGGUCAGCCUGAACUACAGAGCAAGACCCUGCUUCAAACAAAACCUGUUGGUGAGGAAGACUUCUGUGUGCCCAGCCGCUUGCUCCACCCCCAUGACAGCGCUGAGAGCUGGCCUGUGUGCCUAGAGAGGCUGAAUGUUUCAGAAUUGACCCCUGCUGCAUGUCCAUUACCAGUCUGCAUUGAUGAAAGUGACUUUUCUGCUUCAUGACUGCCAGAAAAGCGUCCUUUAAUGAAUUCCUUUAUCUGCAGAUGGAUGGAGUAUAACUGGGCCAGGAGAGCAUCAGGGAUUCUCAGUCCCAUCUACAGAGGAAACCACAUGGUGCUUCCUCUCGAUCCAGCCCUGCAGCUAGGUCCCAAGCUUUGUUGUUCAUGAGAUUCCCCUAAACAAUUCCCAGCAAAAUACUUGCAUUUAGUUAUACUUCAGAAACAAAUUGCCGGCUAGAUACAGUGCGUCAGGCUUUACAAGAUGCCAGAUGAGAGAAUAGACUCUUAGAGUGGUAGUAAAUUAAAUACUGAUCCACUUACUAAUUUGUUUAAAAACAGUGGUUUCAAAUUGAGAGCCAUUCAUUUCAUAAACUGAAUAGUAAAGAAAAAGUCUGGCCCCUUUAUUACAGUAUAGUACUUCAGUACUUUUAAAGCAAUUUCUGUCUUAGUUGUUUUACCUUUAAAUUCACUCUUAAUAAAUGCUCAGCACAUCUUCGAGCAUUAAGUGGCACCUUCCAGGGAUGCAGCGGGUAUGUCUGAAGGAUGUGCUGACAGUAUGCCCUCCCUGCCCCUCAGGUAUCUCAGCCCAGCAAGAGCAUUCAUAAUGUGUCAUCUCAGUCUGAUUUAUAAAUGUUCCAAGUUGUCCAGUAAACCCCAAAUCUUAAGAUUUUUAAUUAAUCAAAAUUCUUCAUCCUGUUAAGUAGAAAAUAAAGCCAAAUAACCCAGAUUUGUUCGCCCUACUUCAGUUCCUUAGCCCCUAUGUUCAAAAUACUGAAGCCAUCUGUAGUCUGUGUAACAUUUCUAAGAAUAAGAGCUGGCCAAUGGGAAACUUUCCUUGGGGUGGGGAAAAAUAUGCUUACAUUGGCUGGGAAGACGCAGGUGGAGAUGUUCUAGAGCUUAUCUCAGAUUUAAAUAGAUUGCCAAAGGAAGACCUCAUUGCCUUCCGGAUGAGGUGCGGUGUCGUGUGUAGUAAGUAAUGCCCUGUUACAUCCUAACUGCUAAUUAUUGCCUUCUUUGGCCUUUGAGAUCCUUAAAGAACUCUUUGGUUAAAUGAUUAGCCAUAAUUAAAGGUCUCUGGUCAUCGUACUGCUAUUUAUUUCUAAAACACUGUCAAUGACCAGUGCCGUGGUCACUUUCAACAUCACAUUGACAUAAUGCGGAGGAGAAAGUCUCCAUUCCAUUACAAGAGUGUGUUAAGUAAACGCCUUGGCCUAGGAUAAUUUUCAACUCAUUUUACUGAAGAGUCCAAAGAGACUGAGAAACAUGAUGGUAGGCAGGGUCCUCUCCGACAUGUUUCAGUACCUGCAUACCCGCUGAAAGAAAGCAGUGGGUAAGACAUUUCGUAAAGUUGAAGCAAUAGCUUCUUAGAGUCUUGGUUAUUUUAUUUUUUUUUAAUGCUUUACAUUUGAUACAACUAUUAAAGAUCAAUUUUAAAUAUAGCUUUCCAGUAAUAUAUUUUAAGUAAUAUAUAUUUUAAUAUCUAUGUAAAAAGUGACAGAGGAGGACUGAAUUUCUCACAUAUGGAAUGUUUAAUGUAAGACCGCACUGUUAAGGUACACAUUAUUUCAAGGGAAGUUGCUCUAAAGAUACUCAGAUUAUUUCCCAGAAAUGCAAUAAGGGGGAUAGUUUUGGGGUUUAUUUUUUAUUUUAAAUGGAAAUUGACUUAUUUACCACAAGCUAUUUUUUCCUUCUGGCUAUAAGGUUUGUACAGACUGGUUUGGUAAAUGCUGAACUUUUGUGUCUUGCCUUUUUCAAGGAAUUGUUAACGUUGGAAUUGAGGGUAUGUACAGAGAAGCUGGUGUCAGCACCAUUUAAUAAGGCG
ensembl:lncRNA